AAUCUUACCUGGCAGGGGAGACGCUGUGGUCAUGAGUGUGGUUUUCCCAGGGUGAGCCUCAUCAAGUGGACUCUUGAUGUGCUGACUCCUGCGAUUUUCCCCAAAUCUGGGAACGGCGCCUGCAUAAUUUGUGGUAGUGGCGCUUUCCCCUG
rnacentral:snRNA from 1 species